rnacentral:rRNA from 1 species
GUAGGGUGCAAGGCGUUUAAUCGGAAUUACUGGGCGUAAAGCGUGCGCAGGCGGUUUUGUAAGACUGUCGUGAAAUCCCCGGGCUUAACCUGGGAAUGGCGAUGGUGACUGCAAGGCUAGAGUUUGGCAGAGGGGGGUAGAAUUCCACGUGUAGCAGUGAAAUGCGUAGAGAUGUGGAGGAACACCGAUGGCGAAGGCAGCCCCCUGGGUCAAAACUGACGCUCAUGCACGAAAGCGUGGGGAGCAAACAGGAUUAGAUACCCUGGUAGUCCACGCCCUAAACGAUGUCUACUAGUUGUCGGGUCUUAAUUGACUUGGUAACGCAGCUAACGCGUGAAGUAGACCGCCUGGGGAGUACGGUYKYWAAGRUUA